rnacentral:rRNA from 1 species
AGUUUUGAUCAUGGCUCGAGGAUAGAACGCUAGCUACGAGGUACUUAACACAUGACAAGUCGGAAGGGGAAACGACAUACGAAAGUCUUGUCUUUUGAUGGGCGUCGACCGGCUACGGGUGAGUAACGCGUAUCCAACCUGCCCACCACUUGGGGAUAACCUUGCGAAAGUAAGACUAAUACCCAAUGAUAUCUCUAGAAGACAUCUGAAAGAGAUUAAAGAUUUAUCGGUGAUGGAUGGGGAUGCGUCUGAUUAGCUUGUUGGCGGGGUAACGGCCCACCAAGGCAACGAUCAGUAGGGGUUCUGAGAGGAAGGUCCCCCACAUUGGAACUGAGACACGGUCCAAACUCCUACGGGAGGCAGCA